rnacentral:rRNA from 1 species
GACGAACGCUGGCGGCGUGCUUAACACAUGCAAGUCGAACGGGAUUUAGUAAACAGAAGCCUCGGCGGAAGAUUACUAAUGAGAGUGGCGAACGGGUGAUUAACGCGUGAGCAACCUGCCUAUGACAGUGGGAUAGCCUCGGGAAACCGGGAUUAAUACCGCAUAAAAUCGUAGAAACACAUGUUUUAACGGUCAAAGAUUUAUCGGUCAUAGAUGGGCUCGCGUCUGAUUAGCUAGUUGGUGGGAUAACAGCCCACCAAGGCGACGAUCAGUAGCCGGUCUGAGAGGAUGAACGGCCACAUUGGAACUGAGACACGGUCCAAACUCCUACGGGAGGCAGCAGUGGGGAAUAUUGCACAAUGGGGGAAACCCUGAUGCAGCGACGCCGCGUGAACGAAGAAGGUAUUCGUAUCGUAAAGUUCUGUCCUAUGGGAAGAUAAUGACAGUACCAUAGAAGAAAGCUCCGGCUAAAUACGU